GGCGGUAUAGCUCAGUUGGCUAGAGCAUGCGGUUCAUACCCGCAGUGUCGUUGGUUCGAAUCCGACUACCGCUACCA
rnacentral:tRNA from 5 species